rnacentral:misc_RNA from 1 species
GAUGAAGAACGCAGCGAAAUGCGAUAAGUAAUGUGAAUUGCAGAAUUCAGUGAAUCAUCGAAUCUUUGAACGCACAUUGCGCCCGCCAGUAUUCUGGCGGGCAUGCCUGUUCGAGCGUCAUUUCAACCAUCAAGCCCCAGGCUUGUGUUGGGGACCUGCGGCUGCCGCAGGCCCUGAAAACCAGUGGCGGGCUCGCUGUCACACCGGGCGUAGUAGCAUACAUCUCGCUCUGGGCGUGCUGCGGGUUCCGGCCGUUAAACCACCUUCAUAACCCAAGGUUGACCUCGGAUCAGGUAGGAAGACCCGCUGAACUUAAGCAUAUCAAUAAGCGGAGGA